GGAAUCUUAGACAAUGGGCGCAAGCCUGAUCUAGCCAUGCCGCGUGAGCGAUGAAGGCCUUAGGGUUGUAAAGCUCUUUCACCGGGGAAGAUAAUGACGGUACCCGGAGAAGAAGCCCCGGCUAACUCCGUGCCAGCAGCCGCGGUAAUACGGAGGGGGCUAGCGUUGUUCGGAAUUACUGGGCGUAAAGCGCGCGUAGGCGGGCUGUUAAGUCGGGGGUGAAAUCCCGGGGCUCAACCCCGGAACUGCCUUCGAUACUGGCAGCCUGGAGUCCGAGAGAGGUGAGUGGAAUUCCCAGUGUAGAGGUGAAAUUCGUAGAUAUUGGGAAGAACACCGGUGGCGAAGGCGGCGACCUGGACCGUAUCUGACGCUGAGGCGCGAAAGCGUGGGGAGCAAAC
rnacentral:rRNA from 1 species